rnacentral:rRNA from 1 species
UACAGAGGUCUCAAGCGUUGUUCGGAUUUAUUGGGCGUAAAGGGUGCGCAGGCUGUAUGGUAAGUUUGGUGUGAAAUCCUGGAGCUUAACUCCAGAAUUGCACUGAAUACUGCCGUGCUAGAGGACUGGAGAGGAGAUUGGAAUUCACGGUGUAGCAGUGAAAUGCGUAGAUAUCGUGAGGAAGACCAGUGGCGAAGGCGAAUCUCUGGACAGUUCCUGACGCUCAUGCACGAAGGCCAGGGGAGCAAACGGG